rnacentral:lncRNA from 1 species
GGCAUUUCCUCUUGGUAAUGACUUAAUCGCACUUUUAAAUGAGGCUGCAGCCUAAUCAUCUGUAAGUAAUACAAUUGGAAUGCGAGUCACAGCCCAAAAAGGGGUUCCGAAAGAUAACUCAAUUCGUGCGAAGCCUCCACUCCCCUUCACUUUGCCGUACUGUACCCCACUGUACCGUAUACCCACUAUGGGUCAUACUGUAGUCGUUCAAUCCGUUCAGUCCUGUUUGUUCGUUCGUUCGCUCAUUCUUUAUAAUGUUGCAGCAAACCAUUCUGUUGCGGCUUUUGUUUGCCGCAAAACAAACUGCGGAAACUCCUUGCUUCCGCUCUCGCUCUGGCCCAUGCAUGAGUUGCCUUUCGAGUGCUUUUCAUUUAGCUAAUCCCCACUGUACUCGUUCGCUUAUUCGAUGCGAUGCGAUGCGAUGCUUAUUAUGGCACCAGAGCAAAAGCAGAGCCUCUGCCUCUGCCUCUGCCACUCUGGCGGUGUUUUCCCUCUUGUUUUCCUUUUUGUGGGGAAUGCGGGUGUUUUUUCGGAUCGCUCACUCGCUGCCGACUCUUCCUCCAUCAGCUGUGUGUGUGUGUUUGUGUGUGGGUGUGGGUGUGUGUGUGUGUGUCAGUGUGAUGUGGCAGAAUAGGGUCUGGGGUGUGUACAAAAUUUUGUUUUAUGGUUUUUUAGUUAUGAAACUGAAACUGAAUUACAUAUGUAUACAUGUGUGUGUGUGUAAUGUGGCAAGAGCGACAGCAACAGCAACAACAACAGAUUUAAGUGAUGAUUCUGCCCCUUGCCGCCCCUUGCCAAACUGCUUUUGGCCUGAUCUGCUGUGGCUGCUGCCACUAUUGUUGUGGCUGCCACUGUUUGUUUCUUCUCUUCUCUUUUUGUUGCUGGCAUAUUUACGUACCAUUUUUUGCAUACCUAACAGAAAACCACCAAUGCCCCAGAGGGUAACAAAGCUGUGAAUACCCUAUAAAAAAUGAACCCUACCAAUCCCAUAUUGAUGUAUUUUCCAGACUUUAUUUAAGGCCAGCCGAAGAUGCUCCAUUCUCUGCCUUUCAAUGGGCAGUGAAAACAACAGACGACAGCGUGGCGCAGCAGCAACAGCGGAGGGUCGAGGGUGAAAGUAAUGAAGCAAAAUGUUUUCGCUUGGGAUUGGUCGUGGCUGUGGCAGUGGCAGGAUUGAAGGGAGACGAGAGCCAGUGGCAGCGGCCGUAGCAUGGCAACUGAAUACCGGCAACAGAUAAUAUAAAUGUUGUUUAAAGUUUAAACGCAAGCCGCAGGUUCUCCUCGUGCCAGCCAGUGGCAUAGUCAUAAAGUGAUACAUGAAACGAUGCCCGAGCAGUCCAUGGGUGAAAUUGAACAUUCCUGAGCGAGGAGAAUAUGGAGGAGUAGGAAGGAGCAGUCUCCUUUUGAAAGCUCUGCAUAUGUAAACGGAGGGAGAGGCCUCUCAUCGUCAUGCUCAUUCUGCUCGGACUCGUGCCAUUCCAAGUGCGAUUGCCAUUCAUGGUGGGAAUGGAAACGGGUAAAUGGACAAGGGGUUUGGGAUAUGGGCAGUUUGUGGCAUGCAGCAUUCACCAUUGCAGCAUGUAGAAUGGGGCAUAGACCGUACGAGGGAGUAUGGAAGGAUGGAACGUCUCUUCAGUCGCUUAUUUGAAUGCAAUUGACUGAAGGCUUAGCCGGCAUAAUGUGCGGCCUGGACGGGGCUUAGUCUCCUGUUGGCGACAUGUUGGCUUUUGGCUCAGCCAUCGCUCUCACAUGAGGCAGACAGACAGACAAACUGACAGAUAGACAGUAGAGGCAACAUCAACCAGUUGCAACAGCAGCAGGACACACACAUACACAUACAUACAUACAUACAUGUAUUUCCGCAUCCGCAUCCGCAUCCGCAUCCGUUUCCGCUUUGUGCAUUGGCAAGCAGCAAGAGGCAGCAGCUACAGCUACAGCGGCAGAGCUAUGG